rnacentral:rRNA from 1 species
CUACGGGAGGCACCAGUGGGGAAUAUUGCACAAUGGGCGCAAGCCUGAUGCAGCCAUGCCGCGUGUAUGAAGAAGGCCUUCGGGUUGUAAAGUACUUUCAGCGGGGAGGAAGGGAGUAAAGUUAAUACCUUUGCUCAUUGACGUUACCCGCAGAAGAAGCACCGGCUAACUCCGUGCCAGCAGCCGCGGUAAUACGGAGUGUGCAAGCGUUAAUCGGAAUUACUGGGCGUAAAGCGCACGCAGGCGGUUUGUUAAGUCAGAUAUGAAAUCCCCGGGCUCAACCUGGGAACUGCAUCUGAUACUGGCAAGCUUGAGUCUCGUAGAGGGGGGUAGAAUUCCAGGUGUAGCGGUGAAAUGCGUAGAGAUCUGGAGGAAUACCGGUGGCGAAGGCGCCCCCCUGGACGAAGACUGACGCUCAGGUGCGAAAGCGUGGGGAGCAAACAGGAUUAGAUACCCCAGUAGUC